AACGCACGAGACCUGCGGACCUGCGGAGGGAUCAUUACAGGAAUCGCAAGAUCUCCCUGCAACCCUCGUGAACCUACCGAAACGUUGCCUCGGCGGGCGCCCGGCCUUGUGCCGUGAGCCCGCCGGCGGCCUACAACUCUGCCUCUAGCGUUGUCUCUCUGAGUACUAUACAAAUUUAUCAAAACUUUCAGCAAUGGAUCUCU
rnacentral:misc_RNA from 1 species